UACGGAGGGGGCUAGCGUUGUUCGGAAUUACUGGGCGUAAAGCGCACGUAGGCGGCUUUGUAAGUUAGAGGUGAAAGCCCGGGGCUCAACUCCGGAAUUGCCUUUAAGACUGCAUCGCUAGAAUUGUGGAGAGGUAAGUGGAAUUCCGAGUGUAGAGGUGAAAUUCGUAGAGAUCCGGAGGAACACCAGUGGCGAAGGCGACACGCUGGGCCGUACCUGACACUGAUGCGCGACAGCAUGGGGAGCAAACAGG
rnacentral:rRNA from 1 species